AAUUGGAGGAUACAGGCAUACUUGUACCGUCCAAAACGAACGAACCUUCGGGUUAGUGGCGGACGGGUGAGUAACGCGUGAGAAUCUGCCCUCAGGAGGGGGAUAACGGCUGGAAACGGCCGCUAAUACCCCAUAUGCCGAGAGGUGAAAUGAAUUUCGCCUGAGGAUGAGCUCGCGUCUGAUUAGCUAGUUGGUGUGGUAAAGGCUCACCAAGGCAUCGAUCAGUAGCUGGUCUGAGAGGAUGAUCAGCCACACUGGGACUGAGACACGGCCCAGACUCCUACGGGAGGCAGCAGUGGGGAAUUUUCCGCAAUGGGCGCAAGCCUGACGGAGCAACGCCGCGUGAGGGAUGAAGGCCUCUGGGCUGUAAACCUCUUUUAUCAAGGAAGAAGAUCUGACGGUACUUGAUGAAUAAGCCACGGCUAAUUCCGUGCCAGCAGCCGCGGUAAUACGGGAGUGGCAAGCGUUAUCCGGAAUUAUUGGGCGUAAAGCGUCCGCAGGCGGUUUUACAAGUCUGUCGUUAAAACGUGGAGCUCAACUCCAUUUCGGCGAUGGAAACUGUAAGACUAGAGUGUGGUAGGGGCAGAGGGAAUUCCCGGUGUAGCGGUGAAAUGCGUANGAUAUCGGAAGAACACCAGUGGCGAAAGCGCUCUGCUGGGCCAUAACUGACGCUCAAUGACGAAAGCAUAGGGAGCGAAAGGGAUUAGAUACCCCUGUAGUCCUAGCCGUAA
rnacentral:rRNA from 1 species